CGUGGCCGAGGUUACUGCCAGAAGUAAAUGGGGAGGGGCUAUUGACCGGAGCUUCCAGCUUGGCUCCGAACCACGCCCAGUUGGGCUGGGCGUCCGCCCGGAGUUGGCCUCGCGCGGCAGGCGGGGGAGGCGGAGGAGCGGGAGGGGUGGUCGGAGGGGAGGCCGGAGGGGAUCCCGGGAGGAGGACACGCCGGCGCAGGCCUACGGCGCGUCACGCGUGGCGCGGCAGCCAUGGCGGGAAGCGAGCUGCGCAGCGGAGGCAGCUCCGCGCCGACGCCCUACAGCGAUUGGAGUCGCCUGGAGGCGGCCAUCCUCAGCGGCUGGAGAACCUUCUGGCAGUCGGUGGGCAAAGAGAGCGCGGCUCCGGCAGCCUCCCGGGAGGAGGCGGUUGAGGAGGCCAGUACCCUGACUCGGCUGCCGAUUGAUGUACAGCUGUAUAUUUUGUCAUUUCUUUCACCCCAUGAUCUUUGUCAGUUGGGAAGUACAAAUCGUUAUUGGAACGAGACUGUCCGAGAUCCAAUUCUUUGGAGAUAUUUUCUGUUGCGGGAUCUUCCUUCUUGGUCUUCUGUUGACUGGAAGUCUCUUCCUGAUCUAGAAAUCUUAAAAAACCCCAUAUCUGAAGUCACUGAUAGUGCAUUUUUUGACUAUAUGGCAGUCUAUAAAAUGUGUUGUCCACAUACAAGAAGAUCCUUGAAAUCCAGCCGUCCUGUGUAUGGAGCUGUCACCUCUUUUUUGCACUCACUGAUCAUUCAUAAUGAACCACGAUUUGCUAUGUUUGGACCAGGUUUGGAAGAAUUGAAUACAUCUUUGGUGUUGAGCUUAAUGUCAUCUGAGGAACUUUGCCCAACAGCUGGUUUGCCUCAGAGGCAGAUUGAUGGUAUUGGAUCAGGAGUCAAUUUUCAGUUGAGCAACCAACAUAAAUUCAACAUCCUGAUAUUAUAUUCAACUACCAGAAAGGAAAGAGAUAGAGCAAGGGAAGAGCAUACAAGUGCAGUUAACAAGAUGUUCAGUCUACAGAAUGAAGGGAAUGAUCAACAAGGAAGCCGGUACAGUGUGAUUCCACAAAUUCAGAAAGUGUGUGAAGUUGUAGAUGGGUUCAUCUAUGUUGCAAAUGCUGAAGCUCAUAGAAGACAUGAAUGGCAGGAUGAAUUUUCUCGUAUUAUGGCAAUGACAGAUCCAGCUUUUGGCUCUUCUGGAAGACCAUUGCUGGUUUUAUCUUGUAUUUCUCAAGCAAAUGUGAAAAGAAUGCCCUGUUUUUAUUUGGCCCAUGAACUGCGUCUGAAUCUUCUAAACCACCCAUGGAUGGUCCAGGAUACAGAAGCUGAAACUCUAGCUGGUUUUUUGAAUGGCAUUCAGUGGAUUCUUGAAGAAGUAGUAUCUAAGAAUGCAAGAUGAUCCUCCUUUUGGACCUUGGAAUCUGAAACCAUUUGAAGUUCGUUACUAAGGUCAUGAUGUCGAUGGAUGUUUGCUUAGGUCAGCUCACUUUGUUCUGCCUUUGUGCAGGUUUUGAUACGAAGAUUAUGCUGACCUCCUAAAAUGAAUUUGGAAGUAUUCCUCUUCCUAUAUUCUUGAAAGAGUUGUGUAAGGUUAGUAUUAACUAUUUCUUAUCAGUGAAAGAAUCUGGAUCUGUACUUUUCUUUGUGGGGAAGUUUUUAACACAAUUUUAAUUUCUCUAACAGAUACAGUUAUUGAAGUUUUCUGUUUUUCAUCUAGUGUUAUUUUCUGGCAGCUGUGUCUUUCAAAGAAUUUUCCAUCAUACCUUCUUUCAUAGAUGUCCUGUGGAGUAAAUGAAUUGGUAAAGUGGUUAGGACAGUCCAUAAUACAUAAAGCCUUCCAUAGCUCAAAACUAGUCAAUAAUGAAUACUUUAAUCUGACUCCCAAUGUUAUUUAUUUCCUUUCCCAGCACUGCUAGUCAUCCAGAUAUUACUGUAUAAAUGAGAACUUUUCUUAGCCCUUAUUAAGUGAAUAAAAUAUCUGGCGUUUAUGAAAUUGUGAUUGUUAUCAUGAUGAUGAGUUGCAGUAUCAAAUUUUGUUAGUAAAGCAUUCAUAAAUAAAUCAGACAUAAGAAUGAGACUAGAUGAGCAUUGUAAGUUAUUUUUUUAAUUAUAAUUUAUUUUGUUUUUAUUUUUUUAAUUGUAC